AAGUCAUGUUAAGGGCAAUAUCGUAACAAUCUCUUGUAACGCUCCUAAGCUUCAUAUAGCAACUCCCCUUCUAAUUAUUGAAAAUUAUGUAUGUUUCUUUUAAGCUU